rnacentral:rRNA from 1 species
UACGAAGGGAGCUAGCGUUGUUCGGAAUCACUGGGCGUAAAGCGCACGUAGGCGGAUGUGUCAGUCAGGGGUGAAAUCCCGGAGCUCAACUUCGGAACUGCCUCUGAUACAGCACGUCUUGAGUCCGGAAGAGGUGGGUGGAAUUCCUAGUGUAGAGGUGAAAUUCGUAGAUAUUCGGAAGAACACCAGUGGCGAAGGCGGCUCACUGGUCCGGUACUGACGCUGAGGUGCGAAAGCGUGGGGAGCAAACAGG